rnacentral:lncRNA from 1 species
UGGCCCAACAAAAUAGAAAAUUGGACAUGGCCCAAUAAAGGAAGAAUGGGCAUGGCCCAAUUAAAAAGAAAUGGGAGAAGUCCAUGAAGAAGAGUCCAAAAACACCAAAGGAAGAAAAAUCCAAAAGAAAAGGAAGGUGGAGAUUUGGGCCAACCUAACUUAAUUGGGUAAAAUUCUUUACUCUUCUCCAUGACUUAUUAUGAAAUUGGACUAUAUGGAGGCUAGCUUAUUUUAUUUAAUUAUACAUUGGUUAGUUGGUGAUAGGAAAUAAAUUUAAGUUGCUUAGAAGGUUGAAAUAGGCACUUAAUACCGUAAAUAAGUUACCGCUGUUAAUAAUCUAAAGAAUUACGUGAGUAAAGGAUGCAAUUAAUUAUAGUAAAAAUAUAUUAAGAUGUGAAUUAGGUGAGUGGAUUUAUAAUAGAAUGAGAGGAAGAGAAGUGAAAUUAAUGCACUAAAUAUAGUGGAUUUAAAUUAUGCUAGGAAAGUUAAUGUGGAAGCAUGUCGAGCAAAGUAUAUGAUUGGCAAUUAGGAGUAAUUGUACGCGUAUACGAAACAAUAACGACGUAGAAAUCCCGCUAUUGUGAAGUGAGUAACCUUACCAUCAUUUUAAUUAUCUAAAGUAUGUUUUUAAUCGAUUUUGGUGAAAUUUUAUGAAAAUGAAAUUACAUGGUAAAUCUUGGUGUUUUACAAACAAAAUGUGUUUACAUGAAAAGAUUUUAUAAAUUGUCUUGAAAUUGAAAAAUGAUUUUGAAAAACAGAGUAAUUGGAGACCAUUUAUUAUGUUGUAAAAUUUAUGAUUUGAAUCGAAUGGCUUAUGACAAUAUUUGCAUGAAUGGCUGAAUUGAUAUUUGUGUUGAAAUAUAUGAAAUAUAUAUUUAGCCUUGAAAGGCUGUGAAUUGCAAUAAUUGCCAUAUCAUGUUAUUGAAUUUUAUUGUAUGGUGGGAUAAUUAUUAGCUUACUGCAGUAGGCGGGUUCCGUAGACCAGCCUAUGAAAGGGGCACAGUAACCCCGUUUAUAUGUGCUCACCUCGGUUGUAGAGGCGCGUAGGGUAGCUCCUGAGGUGAUAUUUGAGUUCACUUUACGCCGAACCACCACGUAAUGGUGAACUCAGCCAACGCCAAGGAACAAUUGUGUUUUUCUCAAACUAAAAAUUUGUUUACGUGUAUACAAAAUUUUAACAGCCUUGGCGGGCUCGAGUGUAUGCCUCUGAUCAAGGUGUCGUCGAGUACUAUUUGAUGGCAUGAGCCAAAUGUUUAUAGAAGUCAUAAGCCUAAAUGAGAAAUUAAAUGAAAUACAACCGUUUGCAUGGGUUGGGAUGAAUUUUCAAAUUGUGAAAUACGUAUUAUGAUGGGAUAUUUUGAUUGUCUCCUUUUACUCGGCUUUAGCUUAUUUAAAUGGUGUUUGUUUACUCACUGAGAUUUUAUAAUCUCAUCAUCCUCCUUCCCACCCAUUUCAGGAUCAGAGUAGGUUGUAGAUAGCUGGUUCCAUCGGGGGAUUUCCAUUGGAUUUACGUCUCCCAAACUGUAGGUUCACAGUUUCUUUAAUUCUGGUUAUUGUGGGCCCACUUGAUAUUGUAAAUUUAAAUUAAUUUAAAUACUCUGGUUUAUUGCGUUACAGUAUGAAUGAAUUUAUUUUGUUUUUAUGCUACG